ACUCAAAUGAAUUGACGGGGAGUCGCACAAGCAGUGGAGCAUGUGGUUUAAUUCGACGCUACGCGAAGAACCUUACCGAGGUUUGACAUCCUGAGAAUCCUGCGGAAACGUGGGAGUGCCUUCGGGAGCUCAGUGACAGGUGUUGCAUGGCCGUCGUCAGCUCGUGUCGUGAGAUGUUGGGUUAAGUCCCGCAACGAGCGCAACCCUUAUCGUAUGUUAAAUUUUUCAUACGAGACUGCCCGGGCCAACCGGGAGGAAGGUGGGGAUGAUGUCAGGUCAGCAUGGCCCUUACACCUCGGGCUACACACGUGCUACAAUGGCCGGUACAACGGGUUUGCCAAACCGCAAGGUGGAGCUAAUCCCAUCAAAACCGGUCCCAGUUCGGAUUGGAGGCUGCAACUCGCCUCCAUGAAGUUGGAAUUGCUAGUAACCGUGGGUCAGCAUACCGCGGUGAAUACGUUCCCGACUCUUGUACACACCGCCCGU
rnacentral:rRNA from 1 species